UACGGAGGGGGCUAGCGUUGUUCGGAAUUACUGGGCGUAAAGCGCGCGUAGGCGGACCUGCAAGUCGGGGGUGAAAGCCCGAGGCUCAACCUCGGAACUGCCUUCGAUACUGCGGGUCUCGAGUCCGGGAGAGGUGAGUGGAAUUCCUAGUGUAGAGGUGAAAUUCGUAGAUAUUCGCAAGAACACCAGUGGCGAAGGCGGCUUACUGGUCCGGAACUGACGCUGAGGUGCGAAAGCAUGGGGAGCAAACAGG
rnacentral:rRNA from 1 species